rnacentral:misc_RNA from 1 species
GAUGAAGAACGUAGUGAAAUGCGAUAAGUAAUGUGAAUUGCAGAAUUCAGUGAAUCAUCGAAUCUUUGAACGCACCUUGCGCUCCUUGGUAUUCCAAAGAGCAUGCCUGUUUGAGUAUCAUUAAAUUAUCAACUGUACCAAUUUGGUUGCAGAUUGGAUGUGGGAGAUUUUGCAGGCUUUUGAUUUCUCUUUGAGAAAACGGUCAGCUCUCCUGAAAUAUAUUAGCAGUGCCUUUGUUGGUUCAUUAGGUGUGAUAAUUUAUCUACAUCUUCACAUGGUACCUUCAUUUGUGUAAAGGUCAUAUUGCUUCUAAUUGUCUUUGGACAUAAAAAAAAAAAAAACAUAUAAUUGUAUGGAAAACUUGAUCUCAAAUCAGGCAGGACUACCCGCUGAACUUAAGCAUAUCAAUAAGCGGAGGA